UACAGGGGGUGCAAACGUUGCUCGGAAUCAUUGGGCGUAAAGCGCACGUAGGCGGUUCGUUAUGUCGGAUGUGAAAGCCCUUGGCUUAACCGAGGAAGUGCAUCCGAAACUGGCGAGCUAGAGUACGAAAGAGGAUCGCGGAAUUCCCGGUGUAGAGGUGAAAUUCGUAGAUAUCGGGAGGAACACCUGUGGCGAAGGCGACUUACUGGACACAUAUUGACGCUGAGGUGCGAAAGCGUGGGGAGCAAACAGG
rnacentral:rRNA from 1 species